rnacentral:rRNA from 1 species
AUUAGAUACCUUGGUAGUCCACGCGGUAAACGAGGAGUGUUAAGUGUUGGAGGGUUUCCGCCCCUUAGUGCGGAAGUUACGGCAUUAACCACUCCCCCGGGGGAGUACGGCCCCAAGGUGGAAACUCAAAGGAAUUGACGGGGGCCCGCCCAAGCGGUGGAGCAUGUGGUUUAUUUGGAAGCAACGGGAAGACCCUUACCAGGUCUGGCCAUCUUUGGCCAACCUUAGAGAUAGGGUUUUUCUUUCGGGACCAGAGUGCCAGGUGGUCCAUGGUGUUCUUCAGUUGGUUUCGGGAGAUGUUGGGUUAAUUCCGGCAAGGAGCGCAACCCUUGUUUUUAGUUGCCAUCAUUAAGUGGGCCAUUUUAAGGGGACUGCCGGGGCCAACCCGGAGGAAGGGGGGGAGGAGGUCAAUUCUUCAUGCCCCUUAUGCCUUGGGUUCCCCACGUGUUCCAAUGGACGGUCCAAAGAGUUCCAGGACCGGGAGGGGGAGUUAUUUUCAUAAACCCGUUUUCAGUUGGGAUUUUAGGUUGCAAUUGGCUUCCAGGAAGCGGGAAUCGUUAUUAAUCGGGGUUCACCAUGCCGCGGGGAAUACGUUCCCGGCCUUGGUCCCCCCCGCCGGUCCCACCAGGGGAGUUGGUACCACCGGAAGUGGGGGGGGUACCCUUUUGGAGCCAGCCGCUAAGGUGGGACAGAUGAUGGGGGAAGUCGAACAACCGCACUU